CAUAGGUUAAUGAGGCGAACCGGGGGAACUGAAACAUCUAAGUACCCCGAGGAAAAGAAAUCAACCGAGAUUCCCCCAGUAGCGGCGAGCGAACGGGGAGGAGCCCAGAGCCUGAAUCAGUGUGUGUGUUAGUGGAAGCGUCUGGAAAGGCGCGCGAUACAGGGUGACAGCCCCGUACACAAAAAUGCACAUGCUGUGAGCUCGAUGAGUAGGGCGGGACACGUGGUAUCCUGUCUGAAUAUGGGGGGACCAUCCUCCAAGGCUAAAUACUCCUGACUGACCGAUAGUGAACCAGUACCGUGAGGGAAAGGCGAAAAGAACCCCGGCGAGGGGAGUGAAAAAGAACCUGAAACCGUGUACGUACAAGCAGUGGGAGCACGCUUAGGCGUGUGACUGCGUACCUUUUGUAUAAUGGGUCAGCGACUUAUAUUCUGUAGCAAGGUUAACCGAAUAGGGGAGCCGAAGGGAAACCGAGUCUUAACUGGGCGUUAAGUUGCAGGGUAUAGACCCGAAACCCGGUGAUCUAGCCAUGGGCAGGUUGAAGGUUGGGUAACACUAACUGGAGGACCGAACCGACUAAUGUUGAAAAAUUAGCGGAUGACUUGUGGCUGGGGGUGAAAGGCCAAUCAAACCGGGAGAUAGCUGGUUCUCCCCGAAAGCUAUUUAGGUAGCGCCUCGUGAAUUCAUCUCCGGGGGUAGAGCACUGUUUCGGCAAGGGGGUCAUCCCGACUUACCAACCCGAUGCAAACUGCGAAUACCGGAGAAUGUUAUCACGGGAGACACACGGCGGGUGCUAACGUCCGUCGUGAAGAGGGAAACAACCCAGACCGCCAGCUAAGGUCCCAAAGUCAUGGUUAAGUGGGAAACGAUGUGGGAAGGCCCAGACAGCCAGGAUGUUGGCUUAGAAGCAGCCAUCAUUUAAAGAAAGCGUAAUAGCUCACUGGUCGAGUCGGCCUGCGCGGAAGAUGUAACGGGGCUAAACCAUGCACCGAAGCUGCGGCAGCGACGCUUAUGCGUUGUUGGGUAGGGGAGCGUUCUGUAAGCCUGUGAAGGUGUGCUGUGAGGCAUGCUGGAGGUAUCAGAAGUGCGAAUGCUGACAUAAGUAACGAUAAAGCGGGUGAAAAGCCCGCUCGCCGGAAGACCAAGGGUUCCUGUCCAACGUUAAUCGGGGCAGGGUGAGUCGACCCCUAAGGCGAGGCCGAAAGGCGUAGUCGAUGGGAAACAGGUUAAUAUUCCUGUACUUGGUGUUACUGCGAAGGGGGGACGGAGAAGGCUAUGUUGGCCGGGCGACGGUUGUCCCGGUUUAAGCGUGUAGGCUGGUUUUCCAGGCAAAUCCGGAAAAUCAAGGCUGAGGCGUGAUGACGAGGCACUACGGUGCUGAAGCAACAAAUGCCCUGCUUCCAGGAAAAGCCUCUAAGCAUCAGGUAACAUCAAAUCGUACCCCAAACCGACACAGGUGGUCAGGUAGAGAAUACCAAGGCGCUUGAGAGAACUCGGGUGAAGGAACUAGGCAAAAUGGUGCCGUAACUUCGGGAGAAGGCACGCUGAUAUGUAGGUGAAGCGACUUGCUCGUGGAGCUGAAAUCAGUCGAAGAUACCAGCUGGCUGCAACUGUUUAUUAAAAACACAGCACUGUGCAAACACGAAAGUGGACGUAUACGGUGUGACGCCUGCCCGGUGCCGGAAGGUUAAUUGAUGGGGUCAGCGCAAGCGAAGCUCUUGAUCGAAGCCCCGGUAAACGGCGGCCGUAACUAUAACGGUCCUAAGGUAGCGAAAUUCCUUGUCGGGUAAGUUCCGACCUGCACGAAUGGCGUAAUGAUGGCCAGGCUGUCUCCACCCGAGACUCAGUGAAAUUGAACUCGCUGUGAAGAUGCAGUGUACCCGCGGCAAGACGGAAAGACCCCGUGAACCUUUACUAUAGCUUGACACUGAACAUUGAGCCUUGAUGUGUAGGAUAGGUGGGAGGCUUUGAAGUGUGGACGCCAGUCUGCAUGGAGCCGGCCUUGAAAUACCACCCUUUAAUGUUUGAUGUUCUAACGUUGACCCGUAAUCCGGGUUGCGGACAGUGUCUGGUGGGUAGUUUGACUGGGGCGGUCUCCUCCUAAAGAGUAACGGAGGAGCACGAAGGUUGGCUAAUCCUGGUCGGACAUCAGGAGGUUAGUGCAAUGGCAUAAGCCAGCUUGACUGCGAGCGUGACGGCGCGAGCAGGUGCGAAAGCAGGUCAUAGUGAUCCGGUGGUUCUGAAUGGAAGGGCCAUCGCUCAACGGAUAAAAGGUACUCCGGGGAUAACAGGCUGAUACCGCCCAAGAGUUCAUAUCGACGGCGGUGUUUGGCACCUCGAUGUCGGCUCAUCACAUCCUGGGGCUGAAGUAGGUCCCAAGGGUAUGGCUGUUCGCCAUUUAAAGUGGUACGCGAGCUGGGUUUAGAACGUCGUGAGACAGUUCGGUCCCUAUCUGCCGUGGGCGCUGGAGAACUGAGGGGGGCUGCUCCUAGUACGAGAGGACCGGAGUGGACGCAUCACUGGUGUUCGGGUUGUCAUGCCAAUGGCACUGCCCGGUAGCUAAAUGCGGAAGAGAUAAGUGCUGAAAGCAUCUAAGCACGAAACUUGCCCCGAGAUGAGUUCUCCCUGACUCCUUGAGAGUCCUGAAGGAACGUUGAAGACGACGACGUUGAUAGGCCGGGUGUGUAAGCGCAGCGAUGCGUUGAGCUAACCGGUACUAAUGAACCGUGAGGCU
rnacentral:rRNA from 1 species